rnacentral:rRNA from 1 species
AUUGAACGCUGGCGGCAGGCCUAACACAUGCAAGUCGAACGAGUGGCGGACGGGUGUGUCAUGUCGGGGAAAACGCCUGAUGGUGGGGGAUAACUACUGGACAAGGUUGCUAAUACCGCAUACCAUCAGAUGUGCCCAUACGGGCUGAGCUAGUUGGGGGGGUAACGGCUCACCUAGGCCACGAUCCCUAACUGUUCUGAGUGGAUGACCAGCCACACUGGAACUGAUGCACGGUCCAGACUCCUACGUGCGGCAGCAGUGGGUGAUAUUGCACAAUGGGCGCAAGCCUGAUGCAGCCAUGCCGCGUGUAUUAAGGAGGCCUUCGGGUUGUAAGGUACUGUCAGCGGGGAGGCGUUACCCGCAGAAGAAGCACCGGCUAACUCCGUGCCAGCAGCCGCGGUAAUUC